rnacentral:misc_RNA from 1 species
UAAAGUGCGAUAUGUAGUGCGAUUUGCAUGAAUCUGUGAGUCAUCUAAUCUUUGAACGCAACUUGCGCCUCUCUGAGGCAUGUCUGUUUGAGUGCCGCAUAUCUCUAUGCAGCAAUGCGAUUUGACUAAUGUCCCAGGACUAGGUCUAAACGUAGCCAGAUAGUGGCGAGUGCUGCUAGUCCGAGUGCUAAGCAUUCUUGGCGCUAGCAACACUCCCACCCGAUCCUUACCGAUCAAUCUGUUACUUUGGCCUCAAAUCAGGCAAGACUACCCGCUGAACUUAA